rnacentral:rRNA from 1 species
GAGUACAGUGGCGCACGGGUGAGUAACGCGUAGAUGAUCUACCCUUCAGUCUGGGACAACUCUUGGAAACGGGAGCUAAUACCGGAUAAAACCUUCGGGUUGAAAGAUUUAUCGCUGGGGGAUGAGUCUGCGUACCAUUAGCUUGUUGGUGGGGUAACGGCCUACCAAGGCGACGAUGGUUAGCGGGUCUGAGAGGACGAUCCGCCACACUGGAACUGAGACACGGUCCAGACUCCUACGGGAGGCAGCAGUAGGGAAUAUUGCGCAAUGGGGGCAACCCUGACGCAGCAAUGCCGCGUGAGUGAAGAAGGCCUUCGGGUCGUAAAGCUCUUUUAUGGGGGAAGAUGAUGACGGUACCCCAUGAAUAAGCACCGGCUAACUACGUGCCAGCAGCCGCGGUAAUACGUAGGGUGCGAGCGUUGUUCGGAAUUACUGGGCGUAAAGGGCGUGCAGGCGGAUUGGCAAGCCGGAGGUGAAAGCCCGGGGCUCAACCCCGGAGGGUCUUUCGGAACUGCCAGUCUUGAGAGGGUCAGGGGCCAGCGGAAUUCCUGGUGUAGAGGUGAAAUUCGUAGAGAUCAGGAGGAACACCGGCGGCGAAAGCGGCUGGCUGGGGCCACUCUGACGCUGAGGCGCGAAAGCGUGGGGAGCAAACAGGAUUAGAUACCCUGGUAGUCCACGCCGUAAACGAUGGGCACUAAGCGUCCGACGGGUUCGACCCUGUUGGGUGCUG